UUGUUCAACAUUUUUCUGGAUCCCGUUGUAUGUACAAUGUACAUACAUGUAUUCAAAUGUUUCUUUGGCAAAGUUUAAUUUCAAAACGCCUGGUAACAUUUAAAAUUGCUAGAAAUUUUAAAUAAUUUUAAAUAUAAAGACUAUAGGAGAUGAUGCUACAUCUACGUUUUUGAUUUUUAAAUUUAAUCCUGGAGCUAAAUGUGUGUUUUUUCAUCUUCUUCAUAAUUUUAAAAAUAUUGCUUCUUGCAAUAUUAAAAUAUUGUUUAUCUUAACAGUUAUACUGUAUUGCUUUGCCAUUUGUAAAACUCCAUCAACCAUGAGUAUCUUUAGGCUUAAUAGACUUUAACUGCUUUGUAUUAAAAUAUUCCUCUCUAGUCAUAAAGUGACAUUAAAAUAACAGAUAAAAAACAACAGAAAUAUAUUUAUGUGCUUACAUAUUCAAUAACAUCUUUCACAGUACUUUCACAGAAAAAUAUUUAAUUCUCUAAAAAGGAUAAAGAUACAUUUUUUAAUAUUUUUGUACCACUACGUGCUGUCAUUUGCUUUCACUUCAAAUACGGUUUGAUUCAAUUGGAUCUGUCUCGAAGCACGUCAAGAGGUUUAGAAUGCAGUAAAGCUUCUCAUAGAUGAAGAAGAGGAUAUUGCGUGCGAUCACAUUGCACUGUUUAAUAGGAGGGGGGAACAAUGGACAGGACCAGGAAAGAUGGCGAACGAUCAGGAAAUUCUAUUACCUUGACAGGUCUUCCAAUCAUCCUCUAGGAUGAAACCAUCAGGGCAGAGACAAAAUACUCGUCCCAUCGUGG